CCAGACUCCUACGGGAGGCAGCAGUGAGGAAUAUUGGUCAAUGGGCGCGAGCCUGAACCAGCCAAGUCGCGUGAGGGAGGACGGCCCUACGGGUUGUAAACCUCUUUUGCCGGGGAGCAACGGGCGCCACGUGUGGCGUCACUGAGAGUACCCGGAGAAAAAGCAUCGGCUAACUCCGUGCCAGCAGCCGCGGUAAUACGGAGGAUGCGAGCGUUAUCCGGAUUUAUUGGGUUUAAAGGGUGCGCAGGCGGAAUGUCAAGUCAGCGGUAAAAUUUCGGGGCUCAACCCCGUCGUGCCGUUGAAACUGGCGUUCUUGAGUGAGCGAGAAGUAUGCGGAAUGCGUGGUGUAGCGGUGAAAUGCAUAGAUAUCACGCAGAACUCCGAUUGCGAAGGCAGCAUACCGGCGCUCAACUGACGCUCAUGCACGAAAGCGUGGGUAUCGAACAGGAUUAGAUACCCGAGUA
rnacentral:rRNA from 1 species